AUAAACUUUUACACUUGGCACAUCAUGAACUGCAAUGUGUAAUAUAAUUAUUGAAGAUUCUUCAUUAUAAGUUGGAUAAUUCUGAAUAUUUUCCAAGGUGGACUGUUACUCAUGGACAGAAAAACACACAUUAUAGAGUUUUAAUCUCAUUUUUAGGCAUGCACUAAUACUGGUAUUGCUUGGAACAAUAAAUGCAAACCUGCUUUAGGCCUUCAUAAACCGGAUUUACCUUGAGUUCAUCUUGUAUGGUUGGCAUGCCGUUUAGUUGUAGUUCCUGUAGUGACCAGACAAGUUUUCAAGUCAACCUGUUCUCUUGACAUCUUGAUGGGCUAGUUUCUAGUUAUUCCCUCUCAUUACCUCUGCCAUUCUUUGUGUUAAGUCCAGCAAACCUAAGGACCAGUAAUGCAACAUCUUUAUCUUUUCAUCAAGCUAAAAUUAUUUUGGUGGUUAGUUUCCCUUUAAGAAAAUAGAGCUGAUUUAGAAGAAAUCUUUAAAGGAACGCUCCAAAUAUCAUAACCAUAGUUAUGGUGCCAGGAGUGCUUUGGUGCUAUUCUACUGAAACAUGUCAUGAUGGAUCCCACAGGACACCCACACUGCUUGUGGUCUUUUUAAGCUAAAGAAGCUACAAGUCAAUUUUGUGCUAGACAAAAUCCCAAUAAUAGGUGACUCCUGGUGCAAUGUCCUAAGGCACCCUUAAUAUUCUGCUAAAUGCAAAAAAAUAUACCACAUGCCUGCAACAUAUAACUAGAUAAUAGAAACAGCUUUAUUUUACCAAUG